UACGAAGGGGACUAGCGUUGUUCGGAAUCACUGGGCGUAAAGCGCACGUAGGCGGAUUCGUAAGUCAGGGGUGAAAUCCCGGGGCUCAACCUCGGAACUGCCUUUGAUACUGCGGGUCUUGAGUCCGAUAGAGGUGGGUGGAAUUCCUAGUGUAGAGGUGAAAUUCGUAGAUAUUGGGAGGAACACCAGUGGCGAAGGCGGCUCACUGGACCGGUACUGACGCUGAUGCGCGAAAGCGUGGGGAGCAAACGGG
rnacentral:rRNA from 1 species